rnacentral:rRNA from 1 species
AGUGAACGCUGGCGGUAGGCCUAACACAUGCCAGUCGAACGGCAGCACAGUAAGAGCUUGCUCUUACGGGUGGCGAGUGGCGGACGGGUGAGGAAUACAUCGGAAUCUACUUUUUCGUGGGGGAUAACGUAGGGAAACUUACGCUAAUACCGCAUACGACCUACGGGUGAAAGCAGGGGAUCUUCGGACCUUGCGCGAUUGAAUGAGCCGAUGUCGGACUAGCUAGUUGGCGGGGUAAAGGCCCACCAAGGCGACGAUCCGUAGCUGGUCUGAGAGGAUGAUCAGCCACACUGGAACUGAGACACGGUCCAGACUCCUACGGGAGGCAGCAGUGGGGAAUAUUGGACAAUGGGCGCAAGCCUGAUCCAGCCAUACCGCGUGGGUGAAGAAGGCCUUCGGGUUGUAAAGCCCUUUUGUUGGGAAAGAAAAGCAGCAGGUUAAUACCCCGCUGUUCGGACGGUACCCAAAGAAUAAGCACCGGCUAACUUCGUG